UAGCAUAAUCAUUUGUUUUUUAAUUGAGAACUGGGAUGAAAGGUUAAACAAAAAGUAAUGUCUUUUUUGAGAAAAGUAAUUUGUAUUUCGAGUAAAAAUACUUGGUUGGUAGUAAGGGACGAUAAGACCCUAAAAGCUUUAUUUAAGCUGGGUUUAGUUUAGAGCUUGGCUAGAUUAAUUUAGCUGGGGUAGUUGUUGUGAGGGGACCUAUAAUUUUAGUAGAACCUGCUAGUAGGUUGGAGGGUCCUUUAUAUGAGGAUGAUUUGAGAGAGUUACUUUAGGGUUAACAGCGCAAUAGCCUCGGGGAGGCCUUAUCUAUGAGGGUGAUUGUGACCUCGAUGUUGAAUUAGGAGAUCUUUUUGGAGCAUUGGCUAAAAGAGAAGGUUUGUUCAACCUUUGAAAUUUUACGUGAUUU
rnacentral:rRNA from 1 species